CCUGCCCCGCCUUGCCACGACCAAUCCGGCGAGCCCCGGCGCGCCCGUGCUCCCCGCUGCUCCAUCCAUCCAUCUUCUACUGCCAGCGGCGCCCCGACUCCGCACCGCACCUCCGCCGCUCCGCGCCUUGCCCUCCUCCUGCUCGCCGACCCCAGGACACUCCCCUUUAUUCCCUCCCCCCUCCCCCACCCCACCCGACCCCUCACCGUCGCUCCUGUAUUACAGGCAACGCGCAUGGCAGUCCCCGACGAGAGCUGGGCGCUGGGCGCCCUCCCGGUGGACGACGACGCAUCCAUGACCAAAAUGACCACGAGCCAAACAGUAGGCCGCAUCCUCCUUGUCAAGCUUGUUGGCUAUUGCCCUGGUGGUGCUCAGAUCUUAGCGGUAACAUCUGGCACGCUGCUGGAUCACAUCGAAAAGAAAACAUAUGUUCAUUCUCUGUGCGCUUGCUGGAGCUUCAGUUUCAAGUCGAUGUUCUGAAAAAUGGUUACCUUUUCUUAAAUGGCAGGUUCGAAAGGUUUCAUAACUAGUUUUAAAGAGGGAUCAUGUUUCAGUGUAGUCUGCCAACUAUGAUGAGCCAGUGAAAUGCCCUCCCGAGCCAUCAUGAUAAGAAAAAAUCUGUUGCUGACAUCAUUUGAUGUGUCUGGCUUGAGGGUGCACAAGUGACUGCAUUUGUUUACGUUUUAGUUCUUCAUGUUAUGUAUUCACCUGCUUUACAUGAAAAAAGAAGACAGUAUACGUAUUCCGUAAAUGUAGUAUCGAAUCUGAUCGUGAUGAUGAGCUAUUCACUACUGCUGGAGUUUCGAAGCGUCGUUAAUGAGCGCGCCAUCAGAUGUCCACUGUCCAGUUGUUGAAAUGGCUACUAGAUCUGUACUCAGCUGCCUUGCUGGAACAAGUACUCGAAAAAUGUUGUCGCAAGCAGUGAAGGCAUAGGUACUGCUAGUGUAUGAUGGGAGUACGAAGAGCAUGAGUGUUGAUUUUUCACGUACAGAGCCCUCGAUGCUUGUAUCUGGUGGUGAUGAUUGCAAGGUACUCCCUCCGUUCGGAAUUACUUGUCGCAGAAAUGGAUGUAUCUAGACGUAUUUUAGUUCUAGAUAUAUCCAUUUCCGAGACAAGUAAUUCCGAACGGAGGGAGUAUGUGAGAGCCGAAAUGGUUCAGUUAUUUUUGUUAUUCCCAAAAGGAAGGAAGCUUGAUUGUAAUUCCUGGGCGGGCAAUGAUGGGAUUUAUUUUCAUCGGGGGAAUACCUCUGAAUAUUGCAUAUCUGCAUUCCAGUUCUGUAGUUCUUCUGUAAUAACUGAAUGGAAUGUACUAGUAAUAGAAGAAGACAGUUUGUUGUAAUAGGUGUGUUGGUAACUUGGGUUACUCUGCUCGUCUUCAUGUCUUGCUAAUC